GAUGGAAGGCUGAGUCAACCUUGAGCCAUGUCAGAAUCAAACUCCUGGCUGUGGGCAGAAUCUGGCUACAGGAACUGUGUUCUGAACCACUCUGCCACCAGGGUUCUGUGGUUAAAGAGAAGAAACUCUUCUGUUUUGACAACUUUAGUUUGGUUGGUCACAAAACUGGUAUAAGGUAUCGCAGUGAUGGCGAACCUUUUAGAUCCCGAGUGCCCAAACUGUGUGCGCAUGCCCAAACUAAAAGGACAUGCAUGUACGGACAUGCGCAUGUGGACAUGCACAUGUACACACCUUUCCGUUUGGGUAUGUGCAAGCACACAGUUUGGGCAUUGGGUUUGCCAUCACUGGCAUAUGUGGGGACAUGCAUGCAAAUAUGUGCACCUGCGGACAUGCGCAUGUGCAUGCGCAGACAUUGCAUGCAUGCAGCAGAGACUCAAAGACCAGCUGGCCUGCGGGGCAUCCCAACUCUGGCAGCGCAGAAAAAGACUGUCUUUUUCUUUCAUUUUGUUUCAUUGUUUGCAGGGAAACAAGCUCACAAAAGAAGCACCAUGGAGAUCUUAUCUGGGGCGAGGGGGCACGUGCCAGCAGAGAGGGCUCUGCAUGCCACCUCUAGCACACGUACCAUAGGUUGAGCAGCCCAGGAAUAUCAUGCCAACAAAACUAAGAUCCGUUCUUGACUGCUCAUAUUCCAGCUUACUCGAUUUCAGAUGCAGUGGAUAAAAUCUGGGUAUACUUGGUGCAGAUGCUGCGGUUCAGCGGCUUAAAGAUGCUGGAGAUGUUCUUUGCUCUGGCGGUUCGAGUCCUACACUACAUGGUGGCGUGAGCUCCCAUCACUUGCCUCAACCUCUGCACAUCUGGCAGUUCGAAAGCAUACUACAUGCGAGUAGAUAAAUAGGUAUCACUUCAGUGGGAAAUGUGGCAGUGUUUUCUUGUGUAAGUUCGGACCCUGCUGGACCUGCCUGAAUAUGACACCCAACUGCAAUGGUGAGAGAAGGCCACAGAUGGCACCACAGGAACUUGUUUGCCCCCUGUGAUGCAUCUUGGAUAUGCACACGAGUGUGAACUAAAAGGACUACUACUCUUCCAC